GGGAAGGUGGCUCAGUGGUAGAGUCCUUGCCUUGCAUGCAAGAGGCUAUGGAUUCUAUUCCU
rnacentral:tRNA from 1 species